rnacentral:rRNA from 1 species
UACGUAGGGCGCAAGCGUUGUCCGGAAUUAUUGGGCGUAAAGAGCUCGUAAGCGGCUUGUCGCGUCUGUUGUGAAAGCCCGGGGCUUAACCCCGGGUCUGCAGUGGAUACGGGCAGGCUAGAGUUCGGUAGGGGAGACUGGAAUUCCUGGUGUAGCGGUGAAAUGCGCAGAUAUCAGGAGGAACACCGGUGGCGAAGGCGGGUCUCUGGGCCGAUACUGACGCUGAGGAGCGAAAGCGUGGGGAGCGAACAGG